CCUACGGGUGACAGCAGUGGGGAAUAUUGCACAAUGGGGGAAACCCUGAUGCAGCGACGCCGCGUGAGUGAUGAAGGAUUUCGGUAUGUAAAGCUCUAUCAGCAGGGAAGAGAAUGACGGGACCUGACUAAGAAGCUCCGGCUAAAUACGUGCCAGCAGCCGCGGUAAUACGUAUGGAGCAAGCGUUAUCCGGAUUUACUGGGUGUAAAGGGAGCGCAGACGGCAGGGCAAGUCUGAUGUGAAAGUCCGGGGCUCAACCCCGGGACUGCAUUGGAAACUGUCCGGCUAGAGUGCAGGAGAGGUAAGUGGACUUCCUAGUGUAGCGGUGCAAUGCGUAGAUAUUAGGCGGCACCCCAGUGGCGAAGGCGGCUUACUGGACUGUAACUGACGUUGAGGCUCGACAGCGUGGGGAGCAAACAGGAUUAGCUACCCUGGUAGUC
rnacentral:rRNA from 1 species